rnacentral:lncRNA from 9 species
AUUAGGGAAAGGGGUGAUGAGAUUUGAUUUGGGAUAUGAAAGGGUAACUAAAGUAGUUGCAGAAAACCAGGAGGCUGCUAAUUUAAUUAGUCUCCUUUUGAAGACAUCUGAUCAGGCCCUUGUCACCACCCAGUUUUUUCGACUCCUGAUUGGCUGAUGUUUUCAAGUCAAGGAGGAACCUAGAAGGGGAAGGAAUUUUAUGAUGUCAGUAUGCACUUACGAGGGCUGUAAAUUGGCUUUCUUGGGCAACAAGCAUUACCUUUUGCAGGUGGGUCUUUGGGACCAACAGACCCAAAGAAACUCUCCUAUGAGACUGGAAGUGGCUUCCUCCACUUAGGCUUCCUCUGGAAUCUAAAAGGACGUGGUGCAGCAGUAAUGAAGGCAUAGUUGCUAAGAGGCCACAGAUGUGACUUGUUGAAUGAAAAAAAAAGCAUAACCAGUAAGUUGAAAUUAUGUUGUGUUUGAUGGACAAAACUGAGAACUUAAGCCCAGGACAUAGCUUCUCAGAUGGCUCCGAGGGACUGCUCUGAAGAGGUAAGGGGAGAGCCAGGAUAUAUAGGAGUUUUUGAGACAAAGACCAGAUAGAACAUCAAAAGAUUCCUGUUAAUUAAACAAAACCAGACAUCUCAAGUUAAGGAAUUUAGUGCUUUUCUAGGUAUGGGAAGAUGCAAGAGUCUGGGCUCACCGGAAUCAUUCUUUUGAUAGGCACCUCGUCUCGGGCCACUUUCCUGUGCUUUCUUACCUUGAGUUUCCUCAGGGUGCACUGUGAGGGGCAGAGAAGCUGGAGAAGAGAGGAUGCAGCAGCUGACUGCUUGAUGGUAGGCUUUCUGUUUCUAUGCUGAGCUCCCUCAGGGCUCACUGUUGGGGCGGCUGUAAUGUGAUGCUGCAACAUCCUUUGUUUGCAGAUAUGGUGGGCAACAUUUUUUUCAUCAACAGACCCGGCCAGCUGAAGCUCAUGGGCUGCACUGACGUGAUGGGGGCAGCUCUACGUCGACAAGAACACAACUGGCUGCGGAUCAAAUGGCCAAACAAUUGUGAGCAAGUGUCCUGGGGUCUUUAAACAUCUUCUCCAUUCCUGGGGAGAUGCAUCGCUUAAGGAUACCAGGAGCAAACUUUGCUGUGGCUUCUAAAAUACAACCCUCCCCCCAAACCCCA